rnacentral:rRNA from 1 species
UACGUAGGUGGCAAGCGUUUGUCCGGAUUUACUGGGCGUAAAGGGCGUGCAGGCGGUCUGUUAAGUUCAGGGUGAAAGCUCCCGGCUCAACUGGGAGAGGUCCUUGGAUACUGGCAGACUUGAGGGAGGUAGAGGAGAGUGGAAUUCCCGGUGUAGUGGUGAUAUGCGUAGAUAUCGGGAGGAACACCAGUGGCGAAGGCGGCUCUCUGGGCCUUUCCUGACGCUGAGACGCGAAAGCGUGGGGAGCGAACCGG